rnacentral:tRNA from 1 species
GCGUUGGUGGUGUAACGGUUAGCAUGGUUGCCUUCCAAGCAGCCGACCCGGGUUCGACUCCCGGCCAACGCA